rnacentral:lncRNA from 1 species
AAUUAUAUAGCAUACUUUGAAAGGUUAACUAUUUAAGUUUAAUAAAACUUAUUUUUUUGCCUAGGAUAUGAUCUAUCUUGGUGAAAUUCCAUGAGACCUGAAAAGAAUAUUUAUUCUACAAUUGUUGGGAAAAUACCAUUUCAGUCAUGUCAGUUGAUAGUCUUGUUCAGAUCAUCUAUCAAUUAAUGCUCUCAUUAAGGAAGGGCAAGAUGAAGGCCCGCACAGCUGGGCCAUUGCUGAGAAGCACCAUGCGGAGGUGCUGCUACCCCUGGGGCUUCACCUCUCUGGACGACCUUGGAGGGUGAUGGUGGUUCCGAGGCUGUGACGGAAGUUGCGCCCCACUCCACUUGAACCCAUCCCCCAAGAAUGGCCACAACCAUGCUGCAUUCAUCUUCUCAGUGGCUGCUUCCUUGGGCCUUGAAUCUGAGGCUUUCUGCAUCCUGUCAGCAUUUAGACUUUCUAAUUACUUUUCUAAAAUAAAGGCUGAGUCAGAGGACCUCUCUUUCCUCUACAUUUCCUUCCAGCAGCAAUUUUCCAUAAAUCCUCAAGAGGAGAGAAGGCUAUCUCACCUCUGUCCUUAGAUUCUAUUCUCUACGCAGGGCAAUGCUUGUACAUUUUGCACAGUUCCCUACAGGUUUUUUGCCCAUCUUUUCUGUUAGUUUGUUCAUUCUGAGGGUGUGGAGGAAAGGGACUAGGCUAAGCUGGCUUUCAGACUGGAGAGAAUACUUCUCCCUCAUGGUGAAAUUGCAGAGCGUGUGAGCGAGGGAGUGAGCAGGAGGAAGGGGAAGAGAUAGAUGGUUGAUGGAACCUUGGAACUGGUGAGGUUGAAGGUCACCAGCCCGAAGGCUCAAGAGGUUUGAGUCCUUCCUCUGCACCUAACAGGAGUGACAGCGGAAAAAUCAAUGGACCACUUUGGGUCUUGGGUUCCACCUGUAAAAUAAGAGAGUGACACUGGGAAGAUUCUAUGGUUCCUCACAUAUAGGUCUCUCCACAUAGAUUAUGAGCAGCUUAAGUAAGGCUGUCAUUUCGACAUCUUCAUAGUCAUGGUGCCCAGUGCAGGGUCUGAAACAUAAUCACAUCA